UCUGUGAUGCAGCGAAACUGCGAAUGGCUCAUUAUAUAAGUUAUCGUUUAUUUGAUAGUACCUUACUACUUGGAUAACCGUGGUAAUUCUAGAGCUAAUACAUGCUAAAAAUCCCGACUUCGGAAGGGAUGUAUUUAUUAGAUUAAAAGCCAAUGCCCUCCGGGGCUCACUGGUGAUUCAUGAUAACUUCUCGAAUCGCACGGCCUUGCGCCGGCGAUGGUUCAUUCAAAUUUCUUCCCUAUCAACUUUCGAUGUUUGGGUAGUGGCCAAACAUGGUGGCAACGGGUAACGGAGGGUUAGGGCUCGACCCCGGAGAGGGAGCCUGAGAAACGGUAAAUUUUCUCGUCACCGNUGUUCCGAACCNCUGCUAACGUCCCCAGGCUACCACAUCCAAGGAAGGCAGCAGGCGCGCAAAUUACCCAAUCCCGACUCGGGGAGGUGAGUUUCGACUAUUUCCUGGGUAGCGGGGCACGGCCACUAACUGCGGAGCAGGUAGUGACAAUACAUACUGAUACAGGGCUCUUUUGGGUCUUGUAAUCGGAAUGAGUACAAUUUAAAUCCCUUAACGAGGAACAAUUGGAGGGCAAGUCUGGUGCCAGCAGCCGCGGUANUUCCAGCUCCAAUAGCGUAUAUUAAAGUUGUUGUGGUUAAAAAGCUCGUAGUUGAACCUUGGCCCUGGCUGGCCGGUCCGCCUCACCGCGUGCACUGGUCCGGCCGGGGCUUUCCCUCUGUGGAACCCCAUGCCCUUCACUGGGUGUGGCGGGAAAACAGGACUUUUACUUUGAAAAAAUUAGAGUGCUCCAGGCAGGCCUUUGCUCGAAUACAUUAGCAUGGAAUAAUGAAAUAGGACGCGCGGUUCUAUUUUGUUGGUUUCUAGGACCGCCGUAAUGAUUAAUAGGGACAGUCGGGGGCAUCAGUAUUCAAUUGUCAGAGGUGAAAUUCUUGGAUUUAUUGAAGACUAACUACUGCGAAAGCAUUUGCCAAGGAUGUUUUCAUUAAUCAGGAACGAAAGUUAGGGGAUCGAAGACGAUCAGAUACCGUCGUAGUCUUAACCAUAAACUAUGCCGACUAGGGAUCGGGCGGUGUUAUUUUUUGACCCGCUCGGCAACCUUACGAGAAAUCAAAGUGCUUGGGCUCCAGGGGGAGUAUGGUCGCAAGGCUGAAACUUAAAGAAAUUGACGGAAGGGCACCCGCAGGUGUGGAGCCUGCGGCUUAAUUUGACUCAACACGGGGAAACUCACCAGGUCCAGACACAAUUAGGAUUGACAGAUUGAAGUUCUUUUAUGAUUUUGUGGGUGGUGGUGCAUGGCCGGUAAGCCGAUAAUCGUCCCCUGGAAGCUGGGAAAAGCUAACCGUUUCCAGUUCUUAGUUGGUGAAGUGAUUUGUCGGCUUUAUUGCGAUAACGAACGAGACCGCGACUGCUAAAUAGCCCGCGCCGCCUCGGCGGCGUGCCGGCUU
rnacentral:rRNA from 1 species